CGCUCCUAACCGAGGUAUCCAAUUCUUAACUCCCUUUAAAUUCUUUGCUUUUGCCGAAACUGAAUCCACCAUCUUUCUCCUAACGCUUUGCAGGAUUCUUACUGGAUAUGCCCCGACGGUUGGAUAUAGUCGGCAUCUCUUUCUCUGAUCGCCGCAAAAUAUGGGCCAUUCAGCUAUUCAGUAGAUGAUACCUUGAAGAUCACAACCUGCAGGUGGAUGAUUUUUAUGCUAGGGAACAACAAAAGAGGCUAGCUGCACGUCUGACGGAACCGGACAAAGCCAGCCAUGAAGGUUUUGUAUCGAAGCAUCCAGUGGAUAAUCAUUUGUAGGUGUCUCUUGGCAACAAGAAAAAUAGAGAUGUGAUUCGCAAGGCAUGGAUGCCUACUGGUUUGGCUCUCUUAUCCCCUCCCCUUUUUCUUAAUUUCUUGGCAUGGAUGCCUACUGGUUUGGCUCUCUUAUCCCCUCCCCUUUUUCUUAAUUUCUUUUGGCAAGCAACUCCACUAAGAUGCUGAAGAUAUAUUUCAGCUCACCUUACUGAGGCAAUCAUUGUCUGUUCAACACAUUUAGACUUGGUUGCUGUUGAAUUCCCUAGCAACAUCAUUGGUCUUGUGUUAAUCCGAAGUUUCUGCAGUAUUAACUGCUGUCAUUAUGAAUUAACUUUUGAAUAUCUGAUUUCAUUUUAAAUCUAUAAGCUAUUUUUGGCAGGUGGUGCUCUUACAAAAUUAGAGGAGGAAAAAGGUAUUGUAAUUUAGAUGAAUCAUUUCAUUUAGAUGAAGCUGCAGGUAAUAUAUCUUAUGUUUUGACUUUCAGUUUAUUCAAAAAAAAUAUAUCUUAUGUUUUGACUUUCAGUUUAAAGUGAAUAAAGUUGCAAAUUUAACUAAUAUACAUUGAUACUGUAAAAUAUUUUUUGUUGUCUGUGCCGUUUUUCCACAGGUAUUAGAUAAUUUACCCAUUAUAAUAGUUUAUGGUGGAAUCAUGAAGAAAUUUUAAAUAGUAAAGAUGGCUUUUAUAUGCCAAAUUAUUUCGCGAUAUCUAUAUUUUCUUUAUCAUUAUGAAUUAGGAAACUCUUUACUUAGCCCUAAUCUAUAUAUUUAUAUAAAGCUGGUCUAUAGCCUUAAGUUACAACAACAACACAACAACAACAACCCAGUGAAAUCCCACAACGUGGGGUCUGGGGAGGGUAGAGUGUAUGCAGACCUUACUCCUACCAAGGUAGGACGGCUAUUUCCGAAAGACCCUCGGCUCAAUAAAAAGCAUAAAAAGAGGUCAGAUAAGGCUAAGAAAUUCAAAGCGAUAUGGAAAUGCAAAUAACGAAAGCGACACGGAUAAAAUAGAAUAAUCAAAGUACAGGAAAUAACAGAUAAUUGCAGAAAUCAGAGCACAAGAAAUUAUACUGCGAUAAUGCGCCUACUAAUAAGGAAGGAUAACGAGACUAUCUACUAGCCUUCUACCCUAAUGUGGGUCCUCCAAACCCUCCUAUCUAAGGUCAUGUCCUCGAUAAGCUGUAACUGCGUCAUGUCCUGUCUAAUCACCUCUCCCCAAUAUUUCUUCGGCCUACCCCUACCUCUUCUGAAACCAUCCAUGGCUAACCUCUCACACCUCCUUACUGGGGCAUCUGUGUCUCUCCUCUUCACAUGCCCAAACCACCUCAGUCUCGCUUCCCGCAUCUUGUCUUCCACCGAGGCCACUCCCACCUUGUCCCGAAUAGCCUCAUUCCUAAUCCUGUCACUCCUGGUGUGCCCAAACAUCCAUCUCAACAUUCUCAUGUAACUAUGUUGUAUGGGGCGGAGUGUUGACCAGUUAAGAUCUCUCACGUUCAAAAGAUGAAAGUUGCAUGGCACUUAAAAAACCCUUUUUUUUUCCUUUUGUUUUGUUAUUUGCUUGCUCGUUGUUUGGUUCUUUUCCCCUUUCCCUGAUUCUUUAUUUAUUAUUGCAAUAGAGAUUGGCAAUAAGAAGUUGUGAGAGUUAAAAUAAACAAUGUAUCCGUUAUGAUCCUCGAAUUCUGGUGAUAGUGGUGGAUUAAUUCUUCGGUUAAUUGUUAUCUUUUUCCUCCCCAUUAAGCUUCAGCCCCAUUAUUUUGGGCUGCAUAUUAUCAAAACAUUGAGCAUUUAUGAGUUUCAUUUGUAAAUCUCAGAUUCUCAAGUUCAAGCAAAUAAACAAAGAGCUCACAGGUACACGUCGAAAUGCCUAUAAUUUGGGAAGUUCACUGCAGAAUAAUGUUAAUGAUCGAAGAUGAACGGAGUACAAACAUUCUAGGCUGAGAAGUAAGAAGCACAGACGACGCCGAUGUGAUCCCCAAGACAAAGAUAGUAACUUCAUUGCAUAGAAUAUGUAGUUGCACCUUAUCCGACAACAUUGACUUUCUUUAUAGCACACAUAUCUUAACGGAUGUAGUUUAACCAUUGUCCUCUGUAACUAAGUUGGCUUUAGAAUCAACGCCAUAAUUGUACCUUAUUUUUGGUCAACAACAUGACUGUACUUAAUUCUCGCACUUAUUGAUAUUGUCUCUAUAUAACUUAAUGUUUAGUACCA